UACGUAGGGGGCAAGCGUUGUCCGGAUUUAUUGGGCGUAAGGAGCGUGUAGGCGGCUUUACAGGUCCGUUGUGAAAACUCGAGGCUCAACCUCGUGGCUUGCGGUGGAUACGGGCAGACUAGAGGUAGGUAGGGGAGAACGGAAUUCCCGGUGUAGCGGUGAAAUGCGCAGAUAUCGGGAGGAACACCGGUGGCGAAGGCGGUUCUCUGGGCCUUACCUGACGCUGAGGAGCGAAAGCAUGGGGAGCGAACAGG
rnacentral:rRNA from 1 species